GAUAAACGCUGGCGGCGCACAUAAGACAUGCAAGUUGAACGGACUUAAUCGAAAUAUUUAUAUUUUGAAGCGGUUAGUGGCGGACUGGUGAGUAACGCGUAAGGAACCUGCCUAUUAGAGGGGAAUAACAGUGAGAAAUCAUUGCUAAUACCGCAUAUGCCAUAGAUAUCACAUGAUAACAGUGGGAAAGGAGCAAUCCGCUAAUAGAUGGCCUUGCGUCUGAUUAGAUAGUUGGUGGGGUAACGGCCUACCAAGUCGACGAUCAGUAGCCGGACUGAGAGGGUGAACGGCCACAUGGGGACUGAGAUACGGCCCAGACUCCUACGGGAGGCAGCAGUCGGGAAUAUUGCGCAAUGGAGGAAACUCUGACGCAGUGACGCCGCGUAUAGGAAGAAGGUUUUCGGAUUGUAAACUAUUGUCGUUAGGGAAGAGAAAGGACAGUACCUAAGGAGGAAGCUCCGGCUAACUACGUG
rnacentral:rRNA from 1 species